CUUUGGUUUGGCCCUGGGCAGUGGGGCUCAGUCUUCGGCCCCAGACCCCAGCAGUCUAACACCAGCCCAGGCGACCCCCUUAAAAUGGGGUCCCGACCUACUUUGGGGUCCUGACUCAGUUUGAGAACCACUG